GACGAACGCUGGCGGCGUGCCUAAUACAUGCAAGUCGAACGCAGUGGGGACUGGUGAGUAACACGUGGGUAACCUCCCAUCAGAGGGGAUAACACUUGGAAACAGGUGCUAAACCGAUACUGAUGGAUGCAUCCGCGGUGCAUUAGCUAGUUGGUGAGGUAACGGGUCACCAAGGCCCAGAUGCAUAGCCGACAUGAGAGGGGGAGCGGCCACACGGGGACUGAGACACGGGCCAGACUCCUGCGUGAGGCAGCAGUAGGGAGUCGUCGGCAAUGGACGAAAGUCUGAACGAGCAACGCCGCGUGAGGGAAGAAGGUUUACGGAUCGUAAACCUCUGUUGUUAGAGAAGCGGUAUCUAACCAGAAAGCCACGGCUAACUACGUGCCAGCAGCCGCGGUAAUUC
rnacentral:rRNA from 1 species